rnacentral:rRNA from 1 species
GAUGAACGCUAGCGGCAGGCCUAAUACAUGCAAGUCGAACGGUCCACUUUGGUGGAUAGUGGCGCACGGGUGCGUAACACGUAUGCAACCUACCUUACAUUGGGGGAUAGCCUUUCGAAAGGGAGAUUAAUACCGCAUAAGACAGUAACAUGGCAUCAUGUAGCUGUUAAAGAUUUAUCGAUGUAAGCUGGGCAUGCGUCCAAUUAGUCAGUUGGUGAGGUAAUGGCUCACCAAGACGAUGAUUGGUAGGGGAACUGAGAGGUCAAUCCCCCACACUGGCACUGAGAUACGGGCCAGACUCCUACGGGAGGCAGCAGUAGGGAAUAUUGGGCAAUGGACGCAAGUCUGACCCAGCCAUGCCGCGUGCAGGAAGAAGGCGUUCUGCGUUGUAAACUGCUUUUAUAUAGGAAGAAACGACCCUUGCGAGGGGCAUUGACGGUAUUAUAUGAAUAAGCACCGGCUAACUCCGUGCCAGCCGCCGCGGUAACAC